rnacentral:rRNA from 1 species
GAUGAACGCUGGCGGCGUGCUUAACACAUGCAAGUCGAACGAAGCACCUUGAUUCGAUUCUUCGGAUGAAGAUCUUGGUGACUGAGUGGCGGACGGGUGGGUAACGCGUGGGUAACCUGCCUCAUACAGGGGGAUAACAGUUAGAAAUGACUGCUAAUACCGCAUAAGACCACAGCACCGCAUGGUGCAGGGGUAAAAACUCCGGUGGUAUGAGUUGGACCUGCGUCUGAUUAGGUAGUUGGUGGGGUAACGGCCUACCAAGCCGACGAUCAGUAGCCGACCUGAGAGGGUGACCGGCCACAUUGGGACUGAGACACGGCCCAAACUCCUACGGGAGGCAGUAGUGGGGAAUAUUGCACAAUGGGGGAAACCCUGAUGCAGCGACGCCGCGUGAGCGAUGAAGUAUUUCGGUAUGUAAAGCUCUAUCAGCAGGGAAGAAAAUGACGGUACCUGACUAAGAAGCACCGGCUAAAUACGUGCCAGCAGCCGCCGCCG